UCAUUCUCAGACUGCUCACAUAGUAGUGCUGCUUACAUCCCUUUCCCUAGAUGUACAUUAGUAAUGAAUGUGAUGAACAGUCAUUCCAAUAUGAUGUAUGGUAUUUCAUUAAAUUAUGUAAUGAGACAGAAAUUCAAUGAACAAUAAUAACUAAUGUAUUCUGUUUUACAUGAUCAUUAUUCAUGACUCUCCAUCUUGGAUAAUGGAUGAUCAGCAAGAAGUAAGUAAUUACUUAUUUGUCUGUUUUGUUUAUUGACAACCAAUAACACAAGACAAAGAACAGACCAGAGUGUUAAUCUGAUACUAUAAAAACUACAGGCCUUGUGAACAGCAGUGUGUCUUCUUCAAGACUACAAAUUAAAUCAGUUUCUUUACAUUUAUCAAUACUCUCCCCAAAUGUUCUCAAGGUAGGUUGUAUUAUGAUGUCAUAUGUUCUUCACAUUCUACUGAAUGUAUAUUCCAUAGAACCCUGCCUCCUGACACAAUAUCCUGUAUCUGACAUAGAGCCCAAUGCUGGUUAUCACAAACAAUGAAAAUAAUCAUUUGAUCAGAGAAAGACCAAUAACAAAUCAACAUUAUUUAUGAAGUUAACCAGAUCUCAUUGGUGCCCACAGUCCCUACAUGAGGGAGGCUUGAGUGACAGGAGAAAUCCGAUUGGUCCUGUUUGUUCUGUAUAUAGUGAUGUCGUCUACCACACAGAACUCACCUCUCUGUUUUACACCAUAGUCGCAGGAUCACGGUAUUUACAACAAGAGACCCAGGAGGACAAGCUGAAGAGGGAGGCAUCAGCUGGUGAGCUUGUGGGAGGAGAGACCUCAGAUACAGACCCCACACUUCCACUGAGGAGGACAAACAGCAUGGAGUUACCUCAUCCAUCUAUGGGAGGAGAGACCUCAGAUACAGACCCCACACUUCCACUGAAGAGGAGACACAGCAUGGAGUUACCUCCUCCAUCUAUGGGAGGAGAGAGCAGCAGUCCAGACUCCACAGUGUCUCCCAAAUAACAGAACUGGAGAGACAGGUGAAAGAAGAGGAGUACUGGGGGAAGAAAUACAAACACGUUUGUCUGACAUAUCAAAAUGUGGAGUGUUUUCUCAUUGGAAAGAUGUCGCCCAGAUGUCCUUUGGGUGGUGGACCAUUCUUGAAACACACAGGAAUCCCAACAGCGUUGCAGUUCUUUACACAAGCCAGUGCUCCAUGCACCUGUUACCAGACCCCGUUCAAAGACAUUUAUAUAUUUUAUCUUGCCCAUUCACCCUUUGAAUGGCACACAUACACAAUCCAUGUCUCAAUAUACUUCUUUAACCUUCUUCCUCCCCUUCAUCUACACUGAUUGAAGUGGAUUUAACAAGUGACAUCAACAAGGGAUCGUAGCUGAUCACCUGGAUUCACCUGGUCAGUCUGUCAUGGAAAGAUCAAGUGUCCUUAAUGUUUUGUACACACAGUGUAGGUCUACAGUGACUUGAUGAGUAACACAUUAGAUUAUUGUUCUGCUGCUGUUGAGACAACUGUUUUGUGUUAGAGAGGAGACCAGAUAGAGACAACUGUUUGGUGUUAGAGAGGAGACCAGAGAGAGACAACUGUUUNNNNNNNNNNCAAAGACAUUUAUAUAUUUUAUCUUGCCCAUUCACCCUUUGAAUGGCACACAUACACAAUCCAUGUCUCAAUAUACUUCUUUAACCUUCUUCCUCCCCUUCAUCUACACUGAUUGAAGUGGAUUUAACAAGUGACAUCAACAAGGGAUCGUAGCUGAUCACCUGGAUUCACCUGGUCAGUCUGUCAUGGAAAGAUCAAGUGUCCUUAAUGUUUUGUACACACAGUGUAGGUCUACAGUGACUUGAUGAGUAACACAUUAGAUUAUUGUUCUGCUGCUGUUGAGACAACUGUUUUGUGUUAGAGAGGAGACCAGAUAGAGACAACUGUUUGGUGUUAGAGAGGAGACCAGAGAGAGACAACUGUUU
rnacentral:lncRNA from 13 species